rnacentral:tRNA from 1 species
GCGGGUAUGGUGGAAUUGGUUGACACGCAGGAUUUAGGUUCCUGUGCUGCAUAGCGUGUGGGUUCGAGUCCCACUACCCGCACCA